GCAUUGGUGGUUCAAUGGUAGAAUUUUUGCCUUCUAUAUGCAGAAGGUCUGGGUUCGAUUCCUGGCCAAUAUA
rnacentral:tRNA from 1 species